rnacentral:rRNA from 1 species
UACGUAGGGUGCGAGCGUUAAUCGGAAUUACUGGGCGUAAAGCGUGCGCAGGCGGUCUGUUAAGACCGAUGUGAAAUCCCCGGGCUUAACCUGGGAACUGCAUUGGUGACUGGCAGGCUUUGAGUGUGGCAGAGGGAGGUGGAAUUCCGCGUGUAGCAGUGAAAUGCGUAGAUAUGCGGAGGAACACCGAUGGCGAAGGCAAUCCCCUGGGCCUGCACUGACGCUCAUGCACGAAAACGUGGGGAGCAAACAGG